rnacentral:rRNA from 1 species
UACGUAGGGGGCUAGCGUUGUCCGGAUUUAUUGGGCGUAAAGAGCGUGUAGGCGGCCAGGUAGGUCUGCUGUGAAAACUCGAGGCUCAACCUCGAGAUGUCGGCGGAAACCAUCUGGCUAGAGUCCGGAAGAGGAAAGUGGAAUUCCAGGUGUAGCGGUGAAAUGCGUAGAUAUCUGGAGGAACACCGGUGGCGAAGGCGGCAUCCUGGACCAAUUCUGACGCUGAGGAGCGAAAGCCAGGGGAGCAAACGGG